GGAAGUCUAAAGAACUGCUUAUUGAAAGAUCCCAAAGGUGACACAGAUGCAUGAGGGAAAGUAUUUAGCUUUGAUAAUUAAUGAUGUUUGAGUAUUUACAGUGGCUUUACAAACAACAAGCUGUUGGGUGGCUGUUUGUCAACUUGGUAUCAUCCCUAUCUCUUGCCAGGGUAGUUCUGGUUCACGUUCUGCCAAAGAAAAGAAUUUGUUUGGCGCUUGGAAGGGGAAAUAAUAGGAAAAGCCAACAUUCCCUGGUAACAGCUAUGGACAGAAGUGGGAACUGUUGGCAGGCAUGAGGUUGUCACGGCUUCUGGGUAAACUACUGCUUUGGGGGCUGCAGGUGGCUGCGAGUGGACAGUAGCAGCUUCCCUGCUAUUCCUGGAAUGCCUGCAGUUCCUUACCUUCUCGUUCCUCUGGAUUUCCCGAAAGCCCUGCUGAACAUUCUGCCUGUUCUUCAUCCUUCCUACCCUUCCAAAUGUCAUGUAGGUUUCUAAUUCCCUGAAUUAAAUCCCCUCUACUUGAAAUGUCUC
rnacentral:lncRNA from 1 species